CCUACCCCUAGAGGCAUGGCAGGUGUGGCUGCUGUGUUAUGUGUGUGCCAGUAGAUAUUAAGGGAUAUUAACGACCAGUGAUAGUUAUUUGAUCUUGUUGUUGUUGAUGU
rnacentral:snoRNA from 1 species